rnacentral:rRNA from 1 species
ACGAACGCUGGCGGCGUGCCUAAUACAUGCAAGUCGAACGCUUCUUUCCUCCCGAGUGCUUGCACUCAAUUGGAAAGAGGAGUGGCGGACGGGUGAGUAACACGUGGGUAACCUACCCAUCAGAGGGGGAUAACACUUGGAAACAGGUGCUAAUACCGCAUAACAGUUUAUGCCGCAUGGCAUAAGAGUGAAAGGCGCUUUCGGGUGUCGCUGAUGGAUGGACCCGCGGUGCAUUAGCUAGUUGGUGAGGUAACGGCUCACCAAGGCCACGAUGCAUAGCCGACCUGAGAGGGUGAUCGGCCACACUGGGACUGAGACACGGCCCAGACUCCUACGGGAGGCAGCAGUAGGGAAUCUUCGGCAAUGGACGAAAGUCUGACCGAGCAACGCCGCGUGAGUGAAGAAGGUGUUCGGAUCGUAAAACUCUGUUGUUAGAGAAGAACAAGGACGUUAGUAACUGAACGUCCCCUGACGGUAUCUAACCAGAAAGCCACGGCUAACUACGUG